AGAAGGAGAUGGAGUACCGGGUCGAGCUUUUCAACCGGCAAAUUUGGGGCUGAGGAAAGAAGACGAGGAGCAACUUCUCUCUGGUCUGGUCGUUGGAACUUCAGGACAAGGUGAAGGUUUUCAAAUGUUGAAGGAGGAGGACAAUAGGAACUUCUGUGAUGUCUUGUCAUCUAUUUUCUUUUCUUUGUUGUAGAAUAGUUCUGUUUGGCACUUACUGGUUGGAUGUAAAGAUAUGUACUGCUAGAAUGAAUGCAUGUAACUAUAUUUUGGGCUCCUAUAAUAUUUCA